AUGUACCACUCGUACACUCCAGGUCCCGCGUGCCGGCCACGCCAACCUGAUGACUGCUCGCCACGUGUGGUCAGCC
rnacentral:sRNA from 1 species